AGUGAACGCUGGCGGUAGGCCUAACACAUGCAGGUCGAACGGCAGCACAGUAAGAGCUUGCUCUUACGGGUGGCGAGUGGCGGACGGGUGAGGAAUACAUCGGAAUCUACUUUUUCGUGGGGGAUAACGUAGGGAAACUUACGCUAAUACCGCAUACGACCUACGGGUGAAAGCAGGGGAUCUUCGGACCUUGCGCGAUUGAAUGAGCCGAUGUCGGAUUAGCUAGUUGGCGGGGUAAAGGCCCACCAAGGCGACGAUCCGUAGCUGGUCUGAGAGGAUGAUCAGCCACACUGGAACUGAGACACGGUCCAGACUCCUACGGGAGGCAGCAGUGGGGAAUAUUGGACAAUGGGCGCAAGCCUGAUCCAGCCAUACCGCGUGGGUGAAGAAGGCCUUCGGGUUGUAAAGCCCUUUUGUUGGGAAAGAAGAGCAGCAGGUUAAUACCCCGCUGUUCUGACGGUACCCAAAGAAUAAGCACCGGCUAACUUCGUG
rnacentral:rRNA from 1 species